CACACAGGGACUGGACAGCAGGCACGGGAUGCUGACCACACACAGAAGAGCAGUACCUUUGUUUGUGUGUGUGUGUGUAUGUGUAUGUGUGUGUGUAUUAGAGAGAGAGAGAGAGAGAGAGAGAGAGAGAGAGAGAGAGAAAGCGAGAGCACUUUUUGAAAUUUUUAAAUUUUGAGACAGAAUCUAAGUUGCUGAGCCUGGCCUCAAACUUGUGAUCCUCCUGCCUCAGCCUUCCUAGUCACUGGGAUAAUAGGACACGAAGAGCAUGAACUAAAAAGAAAAAGGUGAAAACAAAUGAACUUCAGCAAAUUUUGAAGGUUCUGAUUCUGCAGAGUCUUUGUUAUCAAAUGUAAAAUCAAGCAAACAGAUUGAGAGAAAAUAUCCACACAACAUGUAUCCAUCAAGCACCUGUUUCCAGAAUUCAGCAUUAAGAAGACAAGUAACAACAAUAAAAGGGCAAAGGAAGUGAGCAGACGUGAUGUUACGGUAGAGACACAGAGCACAGGAACACAGCAUGAGGCUCAUGCUGCAACGGCCACCCCACACCAUUGCAAAGCAGCAGGCCCUUGCCCUGGUCCCUGGGCUCCAAGACCCGUGGGCACCCGAAACCUUAUGCACCACAUGUUUUCCUAUGCACACACACCUGUGAUAAAGUUUAACUGACAUAUUAGGCACAACAAGAGAUGAACAACAAUAAAUAAUAAAGUAGAACAAUCUUUAACAAUAUAUAUAAUAAAUUAUAAGUUAUGUGAA